UAAAGAGCGAAAAGCCAGACAUGUCCGGGGAAAACCGGACGUAUGGUAGCCCUAGACAUCAUCAUUUGUCCUCGCUCCCCCCACAGCUCAACCCCUGGAAACACGUCUGGAGAACAAAGACUGAACUGGGGAGGUGGUGCCAGACUGGAAAGGAGAAUCCCAGCUUGUGUAUUUAGGAACUACACCAUCAGGUUCAUGGCUGCCGUUCUUCCUGCCGACCUCACGGAGGAUGUCACCUGCUUCCCCGGAGGCACCUCAUCUGCGCGAAAGUGACCUGCCAGCUGGGACAGACUUGUGCACUGAAGGAUGCAGUGCGCUGUUCCGUGACCUAGGAUGAGUGCUGCUGCCAGACCUGUAGUUAGCCUGGAAUGCCUCCUCGCAGUUUGACAGUAGAUGUUAGGCUCUCACUUUUCCUUGUGUAUCAGACUUGCUUAUAUUCCCACUACCUGAUGUGCUUUCCUCUGUGACACCCUGCACCUUAUAAACAAGCUUGGAAGGAU